rnacentral:rRNA from 1 species
CAGCCGCCACGGUAAUACGUAGGUGGCAAGCGUUAAUCGGAAUUACUGGGCGUAAAGCGUGCGUAGGCGGUUCGUUAAGUCUGUUGUGAAAGCCCCGGGCUCAACCUGGGAAUGGCAAUGGAUACUGGCGAGCUAGAGUGUGUCAGAGGAUGGUGGAAUUCCCGGUGUAGCGGUGAAAUGCGUAGAGAUCGGAAGGAACAUCUGUGGCGAAGGCGACUAUCUGGGCCAACACUGACACUGAGGCACGAAAGCGUGGGGAGCAAACAGGAUUAGAUACCCCUGUAGUCCCUGUCUCUUAUAC